UCCAGGGAACAACUGUAAUAACAUCACUGACAUCAGUGCUGCAUGACAGUAAGGAAUUCCCCAACCCAGAGGUGUUUGANCCUGGCCACUUUCUAGAUGGGAAUGGAAACUUUAAGAAAAGUGACCACUUCAUGCCUUUCUCAGCAGGGAAACGGAUAUGUGCCGGAGAAGGCCUGGCACGCAUGGAGUUGUUCCUGUUCCUAACCAGCAUUUUACAGAACUUCAACCUGAAACCUCUGGUCCACCCAAAGGACAUAGAUAUAACCCCAGUGCUCGUUGGAUUGGCCUCAGUGCCUCCUGCUUUCCAGCUCUGCUUCAUUCCUUCCUGAAUAUCAAAUGUCUGGCUUCAGCUGGGACAUCUUCUGUGACCACACUGAGGCUUUAAUUCACUGCUUUCCACACUGGACACACUGCCUUUUAUCCAUUUCUUUUGCCUCCUCAUCAUUUCAUAAGUCUCUGUGAACAUACAUUUACCAAUUGGCAGAUCCUGUACAAAUAUUUCUGACAGUUCCUAAUUUCUAAAACACUGUUGCCAUAUGUUGUGAAGAUAUGUACCUGAUCCCAAGUUAAAUAUACUCUCAUUAUAAAAUUGAAAUUACUAUUGUAGGGUAAUUCACAGUCACUUCUCUUCUGCAUUUUCUUAAUAAUAAAUUCUUUUGAUAUA